UACGUAGGUGGCAAGCGUUGUCCGGAUUUACUGGGCGUAAAGAGCGCGCAGGCGGUCGUUCAAGUCGCGUGUGAAAGCCCCCGGCUCAACUGGGGAGGGUCACGCGAUACUGAUCGACUCGAAGGCAGGAGAGGGAAGUGGAAUUCCCGGUGUAGUGGUGAAAUGCGUAGAUAUCAGGAGGAACACCGGUGGCGAAGGCGGGUCUCUGGGCAAUAACUGACGCUGAGGAGCGAAAGCGUGGGGAGCGAACAGG
rnacentral:rRNA from 1 species